UUCCUUCAUUUCAACGUAUUGUGUUAAAUACACCAAAGCCUUCUUCGCUAAGUUCUUUGAAUUUUCUUUUAUUGAAGCUUGUAUGUUGAAGCUUUCUGAGUGGAGCAUGUAGGUUGGGGUAGUGUUCCCUUAAUUUUUCGAGUGAGGAAAACUUCUCGGUUGGAGACUUGGAAUAUCCAAGUCACUGAGUAGGAUCGGCUAUAUGAAUCGUAGAACGCCAUUGUGCUCGGUCCUGUGUCAUGUCCUUCGUUAGAUCCAAGUACUCUAAGUCUUUUCUUAGAGUCUCUUCCAAAGUUUUCCUAGGUCUUCCUCUACCCCUUCGGCCCUGAACCUCUGUCCCAUAGUCGCAUCUUCUAAUCGGAGCGUCAGUAGGCCUUCUUUGCACAUGUCCAAACCACCGUAACCGAUUUAAGAUAACAAAAAAAUUUUAAAAGGGUUUACAUCACAAAGGGUUCUUGAAAUUGACCCAUACCAUCAAGAUGGUCAUUGAAAUUGAAAAUUGAUUAAUGUAGUUUCUGAAAGUAGGUGUCGCAAAUUAAUGUGCUCUUUCCGUCUCAAUUUUGUCAAAAUUUUUGUUAUGUGUUGGUGUGGCACAUAAAUGAGUUCCACAAGUCGUUUUUAUUUUAUUUAUUAUUAUAUUUUUUUUAUCAUAAAUGGUCCCUGAAAUGACCCACACAAUUAAGAUAGUCCCUGAAAUUGAAAAUAAAUGUAAUUCUAAAAUAGAUUUCUCAAAUCAAUGUGGUCAUUCUGUCUUAUUUCUUUCGAAAUUUUUGUUAUUUGCGAAUGACACACCCCUACCUAGAUAAAGGCAUGCUGGUUGUCACAUGAGAGUGACGUAGCCAUGUGUACAAUGCGGAAGCAUAUUAAUACAAGAAAUGCGAAUAAACAAAAACCAAACCAACUAGAGCACUAGAUAAGAUAAGGUGCAAGUGCGAUAUUAAGUGUGAUUGCACAACCAGAGUAUAAGUAGCCUAAGUCCAGUCCAGCAAGGCGAAUACUAAUUAUACAACACCAAAGGUGAUCCUACAUUGGUGAUAAUCUGUCAGAACCUCCGUCAAAUCCUCGUAAGCCACCAACAAGCACUCCUACCUAAAACAUGGAGGGGCGCAAAACAGAAAGUGAGUGGGCAAAAACAAAACUUUUCAAAACCAUUUCACUUAUCAAAAAUAAUAACCCCUCGCCGUAAAACCUGUAUAAUUCCCAGAAAAUAGCAUACAUGUUUAUAUCUCAAAACCAAAUUCGAAAUAACAAUUCCCCAAAUAUACCAUGUGUGAAAUCCCAUUCCUGGAUUUCACUAUUAUAAUCUACGUAUUUGUAUUAUUGAGGUUUUAUAUUUAUUUUUCGGGAAUUUAUAUUAAUUUAAUUGAAAUUAGGUUUUAAUUAAACUAGUUAUGAGGAUAGAAGUUUGGAAAUUAAUUAUCUAAAAUCCGUAGACCUUUUGAGGUCACGAUUUAUAUUGUCGAAUAGAUCUCAAAGCCACGAGCGCAUAGGUGAAAGUUGUUUGUGAGUUCGGAUUAUAAUGGUAUAGUUACGGAUAUUUGAAGUUGUUCUGCUAAACUAUAGUUUUUAAAUGAGAUAAACCCCACCAUGUGGGAAUUGGGCUGAGGAGAGGUGAGUAAAUUUUGAGAGCCCAGUCAGAAUUAAAACCAAGGCACAAUCAGACCCAAGGGAGGGAGGAAAAAUGGAC
rnacentral:lncRNA from 1 species